rnacentral:rRNA from 1 species
UACGAAGGGGGCUAGCGUUGCUCGGAAUCACUGGGCGUAAAGGGUGCGUAGGCGGGUCUUUUAAGUCGGGGGGUGAAAUCCUGGAGCUCAACUCCAGAACUGCCUUCGAUACUGGCGAUCUAGAGUCCGGAAGAGGUGAGUGGAACUCCUAGUGUAGAGGUGGAAUUCGUAGAUAUUAGGAAAAACACCAGUGGCGAAGGCGGCUCACUGGUCCGGUACUGACGCUGAGGUGCGAAAGCGUGGGGAGCAAACAGGG